GACGAACGCUGGCGGCGUGCUUAACACAUGCAAGUCGAACGGAAAGGCCCUGCUUUUGUGGUGUUCUCGAGUGGCGAACGGGUGAGUAACACGUGAGUAACCUGCCCUUGACUUUGGGAUAACUUCAGGAAACUGGGGCUAAUACCGGAUAGGAGCUCCUGCUGCAUGGUGGGGGUUGGAAAGUUUCGGCGGUUGGGGAUGGACUCGCGGCUUAUCAGCUUGUUGGUGGGGUAGUGGCUUACCAAGGCUUUGACGGGUAGCCGGCCUGAGAGGGUGACCGGCCACAUUGGGACUGAGAUACGGCGCAGACUCCUACGGGAGGCAGCAGUGGGGAAUAUUGCACAAUGGGCGGAAGCCUGAUGCAGCAACGCCGCGUGCGGGAUGACGGCCUUCGGGUUGUAAACCGCUUUCGCCUGUGACGAAGCGUGAGUGACGGUAAUGGGUAAAGAAGCACCGGCUAACUACGUG
rnacentral:rRNA from 1 species